rnacentral:lncRNA from 1 species
GAGCCAAUCAGCUGGGCCGGUUUCUGGACACGUGGCCCAGCCCCAGCGCAGCCUGAGCCGCUCUCCGCGCUCGCGCUUGGCGCCGUCACCUGGGCUGGCGGGAUGGCUACCGCUACAAAGAGAGAAGUGGCGGCCUUCGCCUUCCCGAGGCAAGCGCGGGGGCGAGACCCGGACUGGCUGUCGACCGGCUGUGUGCCUCAGGACUCGCCCCCGCCGCGGCCGGCCGCCGCCCCAGGGCCUCCCGGUGCCUUCCUGGGACCCGCGGACCCAGAGCGAGGCGUGCAGCCGGUGGAUACGUGCUUCCGGAUGCUGAAGACAAAACUAAGGUCCCCCACUCACGUUAGCUGUUCCUUUGGCCCAAGCGACCUCUUUAAAGGACGUCACGGUUUAAAGGACGUCAGUUCCCAUUGUAACUCCCUCGUUCUUUGACCACCUGACCAAGUUUCAAGUUUCACCUUAUUAGUGGUAAGUCAUGUUCAUAGUAUACUCCACCUCUUAGGUUUUCUCCCCCAAAACUCAUAACCCCAGUCUAACCAUGAGAAAAUCACCGGACAAAUCCCACGAAACACCAGCACUGCUCCCCAGAACUGCCAAGGUCACCACAACGAAGAGUCUCAGGCACAGCCCAGAGGAGCCUCAGGCAACAUGGCAACUGAGUGCAAUGUGGGGUCCUAGAUGGGACCCUGGAUCAGAAGGACACUGAUGCAAAGAUGUUGAAGUGUGCGGUUAGACUGACGGCAAUGUCAGUUUCUUAGUUAUGACAAGUUACCAUAGCACUGCAGGAUGUUAACUAUGGGCAGAACCGGGAAAGGAGUAUGAAGGCACUCUUCUGUAAACCUAGAACUUUCCAAAAUUAAAAGUUCUCUGAAAAACCCUCCAAUAGCCUCCUGUAGCCCCUGGAACAACAUCUCUCUCUCCAUGUGUCCGUCAAAGCCCACACUGCCAAACCCUGCAGCAUUCGUCAUCCCUCCUCCCGUCGGGGCCUUCUGUGUCCUCUGUGUCUCACCACUCUAGAAUUCGCUCUUCUCGAGCAAAUGGCUGCUUCCAGCCCUCCCAGGCCUGGCUGUGACUCAGGGCAGGCUAAGUGUGACUGUCUCCUUUCCUACCGUGCCCCCACAUUCUGUUUCAUGA